UACGAAGGGGGCUAGCGUUGCUCGGAAUCACUGGGCGUAAAGGGUGCGUAGGCGGGUCUUUAAGUCAGGGGUGAAAUCCUGGAGCUCAACUCCAGAACUGCCUUUGAUACUGGAGAGCUUGAGUUCGGGAGAGGUGAGUGGAACUGCGAGUGUAGAGGUGAAAUUCGUAGAUAUUCGCAAGAACACCAGUGGCGAAGGCGGCUCACUGGCCCGAUACUGACGCUGAGGUGCGAAAGCGUGGGGAGCAAACAGG
rnacentral:rRNA from 1 species